rnacentral:tRNA from 2 species
GGUGGUAUAGCCAAGUGGUUAAGGCGAAGGUCUGCAAAACCUUUAUCCACGGUUCGAAUCCGUGUACCACCU